CCUACGGGUGGCAGCAGUGGGGAAUAUUGCACAAUGGGCGCAAGCCUGAUGCAGCCAUGCCGCGUGUGUGAAGAAGGCCUUCGGGUUGUAAAGCACUUUCAGCGGGGAGGAAGGCGGUGAGGUUAAUAACCUCAUCGAUUGACGUUACCCGCAGAAGAAGCACCGGCUAACUCCGUGCCAGCAGCCGCGGUAAUACGGAGGGUGCAAGCGUUAAUCGGAAUUACUGGGCGUAAAGCGCACGCAGGCGGUCUGUCAAGUCGGAUGUGAAAUCCCCGGGCUCAACCUGGGAACUGCAUUCGAAACUGGCAGGCUAGAGUCUUGUAGAGGGGGGUAGAAUUCCAGGUGUAGCGGUGAAAUGCGUAGAGAUCUGGAGGAAUACCGGUGGCGAAGGCGGCCCCCUGGACAAAGACUGACGCUCAGGUGCGAAAGCGUGGGGAGCAAACAGGAUUAGAUACCUCUGUAGUC
rnacentral:rRNA from 1 species